rnacentral:rRNA from 1 species
UCUCUGGGUGACGAGCGGCGGACGGGUGAGUAAUGUCUGGGAAACUGCCUGAUGGAGGGGGAUAACUACUGGAAACGGUAGCUAAUACCGCAUAACGUCUUCGGACCAAAGUGGGGGACCUUCGGGCCUCACGCCAUCAGAUGUGCCCAGAUGGGAUUAGCUAGUAGGUGGGGUAAUGGCUCACCUAGGCGACGAUCCCUAGCUGGUCUGAGAGGAUGACCAGCCACACUGGAACUGAGACACGGUCCAGACUCCUACGGGAGGCAGCAGUGGGGAAUAUUGCACAAUGGGCGCAAGCCUGAUGCAGCCAUGCCGCGUGUGUGAAGAAGGCCUUCGGGUUGUAAAGCACUUUCAGCGAGGAGGAAGGGUUCAGUGUUAAUAGCACUGUGCAUUGACGUUACUCGCAGAAGAAGCACCGGCUAACUCCGUGCCAGCAGCCGCGGUAAUACGGAGGGUGCAAGCGUUAAUCGGAAUUACUGGGCGUAAAGCGCACGCAGGCGGUUUGUUAAGUCAGAUGUGAAAUCCCCGCGCUUAACGUGGGAACUGCAUUUGAAACUGGCAAGCUAGAGUCUUGUAGAGGGGGGUAGAAUUCCAGGUGUAGCGGUGAA